GACGAACGCUGGCGGCGUGCCUAAUACAUGCAAGUCGAGCGCAGGAAGUCAUCCGAACCCUUCGGGGGGACGUUGACGGACUGAGCGGCGGACGGGUGAGUAACACGUAAAGAACCUGCCCUCAGGUCUGGGAUAACCACGAGAAAUCGGGGCUAAUACCGGAUGGGUCAUCGGACCGCAUGGUCCGAGGAUGAAAGGCGCUCCGGCGUCGCCUGGGGAUGGCUUUGCGGUGCAUUAGCUAGUUGGUGGGGUAAUGGCCCACCAAGGCGACGAUGCAUAGCCGACCUGAGAGGGUGAUCGGCCACACUGGGACUGAGACACGGCCCAGACUCCUAAGGGAGGCAGCAGUAGGGAAUCUUCCACAAUGGACGAAAGUCUGAUGGAGCAACGCCGCGUGAACGAUGAAGGCCCUCGGGUCGUAAAGUUCUGUUGUAAGGGAAGAACAAGUGCCGCAGGCAAUGGCGGCACCUUGACGGUACCUUGCGAGAAAGCCACGGCUAACUACGUG
rnacentral:rRNA from 1 species